rnacentral:rRNA from 1 species
UACGGGGGAGCAAGCGUUGUUCGGAUUUACUGGGCGUAAAGGGCGCGUAGGCGGCCUCUGCAAGUCGACUGUGAAAUCUCCGGGCUUAACCCGGAAAGGUCAGCCGAUACUGCAGGGCUAGAGUGCAGAAGGGGCAACUGGAAUUCUCGGUGUAGCGGUGAAAUGCGUAGAUAUCGAGAGGAACACCUGCGGCGAAGGCGGGUUGCUGGGCUGACACUGACGCUGAAGUGCGAAAGCUAGGGGAGCGAACGGG